UUAACCACGAAACUCAAAACAAACUUUUGCUGUAAAGGUUUCACAAACACCAAACAAGAGAAAAAAAAAAUCAUUAUGAAGGCCUCAACAUUCUUCAUUGCUUUUUUGGUUAUUGUAUCAUGUGUUGCAAUGAUAGAAAGCAAAGAUUGUGAAACAAACGACGAUUGCAAAGACUGGCAACCAUGUCCAGUGCCUCUCGCUUGUGUAUUUGGCAACUGCGUUUGUCCAUGGAAAAAUCAAUCUAAAAUUUUCGUUGCUCCUUGUCCAAUCUUUUGUAAACGUAUGGGGGAAAGAGCUUUAAACUAUUGGCCUCCUUGCGUUUGCACCAAAGAUUAAAUCAAGAACUAUAUGUAACGUUGCAAUAAUGAGAUUUGUAAAACCUAUAAUAUAUUAAUUAUGAAAAUCUAUUCUCGUUUCUUUUAUAAAAAAUCUCAUAUCAAUUUUUUUUU